UUUCUGUUUCAAGUUUCUUCGAAGGUUUGAUCUCCUAACUCUCUGAUGAAGGUAAUCAACUUGAUUAUAUCUCAAUUCUAAUCAAGCUAGCACUACUACGGAAAACACAUGUCACACUGGUUGGAAAAGGGAUACCACCACUUUGGACCAACCGCUGUGAGGUAAGGUGUGAUUGUAUAUAUGAAGCUUUCAACCACGGUUGUGCGUACGUGAAUAUAAGUCAAGUAGCACACUACCUAUCAC
rnacentral:lncRNA from 1 species